GCGCAGAUCUGUGGAAGCUGCCGUGCUAAUGAUAUUGCGUAGUGCUUGGCAGCCCUCACUGUCUUGCCACAUACACUUUCCAGCUGCAAUUCCAUUUUCACCAUUCCACUGAACUCCUUUUGCAGAGCUAUCAGACCUUGAGGAUAACCCUGGUGCUAACAGCUACCAAUAGCUAAACACAAACCCAAUUACAUUUCCUUUUCCUGAAUGGAUGACUACUCUUCUCCUCCUAGAGACAGCAGAUAUUUGAGAUUGAGCGAGUUACCAUUCUAACAACACGCUAUUAUUACAUAGAAGUUUCUACUUGACUGUCACACACCAGGGAGAAGACUCACUGCCUCUCCAGCGAUCUGGUUUACAUGCAGAAGAGUGCAACCUUCCAAGAAGUCUUUUCCUGACAACUCUCCUUUAUGAAGUUUAAAAUGGGUGAAGUUCAUCUGCCUACAAUGUUUCAGAAGAUCAAAGGCCUUCAGGACUCCGCUAGACACAGCUACAGCUGAUCUGGUCUAAUGAUAACAACAGCCCUGCUUCACAGAAGUGGUUGGACCAAAUGAUCUGGAGAGCGACCUUCCACCCACAUCUCGGAUUUCAAUAAAUCGAUGUGCUCCAU